ACUUUACAAUGCUGGCAACAGCGAUAAGGGAACCUCGAGUGCCAGGUUACAAAUCUGGCUGUCGAGAUGCCUAAAAAGCAUUUCAUAGCAAGGGCCGGGCAAGACCGGUGCCAGCCGCCGCGGUAACACCGGCGGCUCGGGUGGUAACCGUUAUUAUUGGGUCUAAAGGGUCUGUAGCCGGCCGGAUAAGUCUCUUGAGAAAUCUGGCAGCUUAACUGUCAGGCUUUCAGGAGAUACUGUCUGGCUCGAGGCCGGGAGAGGUGAGAGGUACUUCAGGGGUAGGGGUGAAAUCUUGUAAUCCUUGAAGGACCACCAGUGGCGAAGGCGUCUCACCAGAACGGACCUGACGGCAAGGGACGAAAGCUAGGGGCACGAACCGGAUUAGAUACCCGGGUAGUCCUAGCCGUAAACGAUACUCGCUAGGUGUCGGCCACGGUGCGACCGUUGUCGGUGCCGUAGGGAAGCCGUGAAGCGAGC
rnacentral:rRNA from 1 species